rnacentral:lncRNA from 1 species
UUAAAAACCUCUUUCUAUCUCAUUAUCCUUUGAAUUGAGUGAAAAUAAAACAGAAGCUAAAUUCUUAUGGUUCAACAACCAUGUAAUGUAGCCAUUUACGCCCAUCUCUUUUGGCUAAACCACCACCACCAAUAAACUCCUAUCACCUUCCUCUACUAAAAUAUUUAUAGAUGGAAGAGAUUUCAAAACAUCUCAACCACCACCUUCUAUAGUGCAUGUUUGGAUUUGGUAUCUCGUUUGUGUUUGUCUUUGUCACAUAUGAACCACUGGGUAGGUUUGGGAGAAUAAAUAUGGCUCAAUGUGAUUAUGACAAAUCCGAUUUGAUACCAAACAUGCUCUAUCACCAUCUAUUUUAUUGAAAUUAAAAGGAACCGGUUAACUAUUUUCCAUAACUUGAGCAGGUUCUCUGGCGACCAAGGUGCAGAAAAAUCAUCUCAUUCGUGGUAAGAAAUUAUAGAACCAAUAAAUUUGUUUUAUGUCAUAAGUACUUUCGUCGGCGACCAUCACACGAUACCGCCACCAUGUCAAAAACUAUGUCAAUCAUAGUAAGUAAAUUCAACCAAUAUAGUCACACUUUUUUAAUUGUUUACUUCAAACGCAAACCAGAUCAACAAGGUGAUGAAUGAGUUGACUGUAUAGGGUCAUCAAUCUAUUAAAAUUAUGUUUUUAUAAAAUUAACAAAGUAUAUAAUUAAAUGAUCUCGCCACUUAUGUGGACGACAAAGAAUUUUGGUGAGUUGAAUUCGUGAUUAGACUUUUUGUUUAUAUGAAAGUUUAUACUAACAUUUGUGAUUGAAUGAUUUGAAACAAUCAACUCGUCAAUUGUAGAGGCGUGAUCCGAAACUUGCGACCAAUUGAAGAUUAUGAUUAAACUUGAUAGUUGAUAUAAGAAACUUGAAUGAAUUAGAAGAAAGUGAAGAGAUUCCCAGGAACUUAUAGAAGGGCUUUGUGCAACAAGACAUUAUUUGUUUUCUAGACUAGAGUUCACCUAUUUUGUCUUCACCUUCCUCCAAUUCUUAAAAGUUCCCAAUGAAAACUACUGGAUGUGAUUCUUGGGUUUCAGGAUUCCUCUUUGGUCAUUGAAGUCAUUUGUUUCAAAUAACUCAAUCGUUACGGUAAACCUUCUUAUUUGCUUAGGGUCCAAUCACAAAUUGAACUCGUGAAAAUUGUCACCGCUCAACAUAAGCCACAGAAUAAAUUUAAACGCCUCG